CCUGACAGAGGAUGGAGGGAUAAUGUCCUGACAGAGGAUGGAGGGAUAAUGUCCUGACAGAGGAUGGAGGGAUAAUGUCCUGACAGAGGAUGGAGGGAUAAUGUCCUGACAGAGGAUGGAGGGAUAAUGUCCUGACAGAAGGAUAGAGGGAUAAUGUCCUGACAGAGGAUGGAGGGAUAAUGUCCUGACAGAAUGAUGGAGGGAUAAUGUCCUGACAGAGGAUUGAGGGAUAAUGUCCUGACAGAGGAUGGAGGGAUAAUGUCCUGACAGAAUGAUAGAGGGAUAAUGUCCUGACAGAGGAUGGAGGGAUAAUGUCCUGACAGAAGGAUAGAGGGAUAAUGUCCUGACAGAGGAUGGAGGGAUAAUGUCCUGACAGAAUGAUAGAGGGAUAAUGUCCUGACAGAGAUAAAGCUGAUUGUGAUUUCAUAAAUAGAAAAGCAGUGGUAUAUUAUUUAGUUGUAUCAUUUUG